GUCAAGCUACAAAGGCGAUUCACUCACCCUGGCGGCGUACUAUGAAUCCGGACUCGGUACAGCCUUGCGUAUCAUGGUCCUAGCGGCUGCUGUGAUGAUCGC
rnacentral:rRNA from 1 species